UUUUAUGGAGAGUUUGAUCCUGGCUCAGGAUGAACGCUGGCGGCGUGCCUAAUACAUGCAAGUCGAGCGAACGGACGAGAAGCUUGCUUCUCUGAUGUUAGCGGCGGACGGGUGAGUAACACGUGGAUAACCUACCUAUAAGACUGGGAUAACUUCGGGAAACCGGAGCUAAUACCGGAUAAUAUUUUGAACCGCAUGGUUCAAAAGUGAAAGACGGUCUUGCUGUCACUUAUAGAUGGAUCCGCGCUGCAUUAGCUAGUUGGUAAGGUAACGGCUUACCAAGGCAACGAUGCAUAGCCGACCUGAGAGGGUGAUCGGCCACACUGGAACUGAGACACGGUCCAGACUCCUACGGGAGGCAGCAGUAGGGAAUCUUCCGCAAUGGGCGAAAGCCUGACGGAGCAACGCCGCGUGAGUGAUGAAGGUCUUCGGAUCGUAAAACUCUGUUAUUAGGGAAGAACAUAUGUGUAAGUAACUGUGCACAUCUUGACGGUACCUAAUCAGAAAGCCACGGCUAACUACGUGCCAGCAGCCGCGGUAAUACGUAGGUGGCAAGCGUUAUCCGGAAUUAUUGGGCGUAAAGCGCGCGUAGGCGGUUUUUUAAGUCUGAUGUGAAAGCCCACGGCUCAACCGUGGAGGGUCAUUGGAAACUGGAAAACUUGAGUGCAGAAGAGGAAAGUGGAAUUCCAUGUGUAGCGGUGAAAUGCGCAGAGAUAUGGAGGAACACCAGUGGCGAAGGCGAUUUUCUGGUCUGUAACUGACGCUGAUGUGCGAAAGCGUGGGGAUCAAACAGGAUUAGAUACCCUGGUAGUCCACGCCGUAAACGAUGAGUGCUAAGUGUUAGGGGGUUUCCGCCCCUUAGUGCUGCAGCUAACGCAUUAAGCACUCCGCCUGGGGAGUACGACCGCAAGGUUGAAACUCAAAGGAAUUGACGGGGACCCGCACAAGCGGUGGAGCAUGUGGUUUAAUUCGAAGCAACGCGAAGAACCUUACCAAAUCUUGACAUCCUUUGACAACUCUAGAGAUAGAGCUUUCCCCUUCGGGGGACAAAGUGACAGGUGGUGCAUGGUUGUCGUCAGCUCGUGUCGUGAGAUGUUGGGUUAAGUCCCGCAACGAGCGCAACCCUUAAGCUUAGUUGCCAUCAUUAAGUUGGGCACUCUAAGUUGACUGCCGGUGACAAACCGGAGGAAGGUGGGGAUGACGUCAAAUCAUCAUGCCCCUUAUGAUUUGGGCUACACACGUGCUACAAUGGACAAUACAAAGGGCAGCGAAACCGCGAGGUCAAGCAAAUCCCAUAAAGUUGUUCUCAGUUCGGAUUGUAGUCUGCAACUCGACUACAUGAAGCUGGAAUCGCUAGUAAUCGUAGAUCAGCAUGCUACGGUGAAUACGUUCCCGGGUCUUGUACACACCGCCCGUCACACCACGAGAGUUUGUAACACCCGAAGCCGGUGGAGUAACCUUUUAGGAGCUAGCCGUCGAAGGUGGGACAAAUGAUUGGGGUGAAGUCGUAACAAGGUAGCCGUAUCGGAAGGUGCGGCUGGAUCACCUCCUUUCUAA
rnacentral:rRNA from 1 species